CCUUUGACGUUAGCGGCGGACGGGUGAGUAACACGUGGGUAACCUACCUAUAAGACUGGGAUAACUUCGGGAAACCGGAGCUAAUACCGGAUAAUAUUUCGAACCGCNUGGUUCGAUAGUGAAAGGUGGUUUUGCUAUCACUUAUAGAUGGACCCGCGCCGUAUUAGCUAGUUGGUAAGGUAACGGCUUACCAAGGCGACGAUACGUAGCCGACCUGAGAGGGUGAUCGGCCACACUGGAACUGAGACACGGUCCAGACUCCUACGGGAGGCAGCAGCG
rnacentral:rRNA from 1 species